rnacentral:lncRNA from 1 species
CUACUGAUCACUAAUGGUGGUGCCAGCCAAAGCUCUUUGGGCAGUGUCAGUGGGAUCCAUGCCCGUUUGCAUUUGCCAGCCACAUGGCAGCAUGUACUCUCACAGUCUGUGGCAGGGCACUGGCAAGUGCAGGAGUGCCAGCCUCUCUGUGGGCAUUUGCAACAGUGGUGAUAUUGGCAUGGGGGUGACCCAGGGCACUGGCAGGUGUGGGGUUGGGAUUCUCCAUGCCAAUGUUCCUGCGGGUGGCAGUGGCUCUGCAGGGCAGAGGGCAGGGCUACUGGUCUCUGUGCGCAGGUUUACAGUAAUGGUCGACAUGGGGCGGGGCGCUAGUGGAAAAGAGUCUGGUGAUCUCUUUGUGCAUGAACGUGCUGGUGACAAUGAUGGUGCAGUUUGGGGGCUGGGGCAACUGGUUUCCUUGUGUGCCUUUAGGUUGGCAAUAGCAACAUGGGGGGGGGGUGGCAGGAUGUGCACAUGCUGACAGUGGUGGUACAGUGGGUGCAUGUGUACCAUGCACUGGCAGUGAAUGGGAGGUGAGGUUUGCCCAGGUGCACAUGUACCAGCAAAGUGAUAUGGGGGUGGCCAUGGGCGAAGGGGAGUCUGUGGGUGGGAGGUGGGCAUGAGCAGGUUAGUGUGCAUUUGUGGGGGCCGCUCUGCUGGAGUGCUCUAAUGGUCAGAUCCAGUUUGCCCCUGCAAGAGCUAUGAUGCGAGCCCACGUGGUACCCUAGUGGGGUAUCCAAGGCUGCACUGUAAGCAGGCGUGGUCAGGCUGGGGCCCCAGGAGAGGCCAGGUGAAGGGGGCUGCUCAGGUUGGACUGGCCCUGUCUCAUGGGCAAGAUUGUCCUGCACUGUUCAGGUCUGACAGUUCCCCUAAGGCUAAAGUCUCCUAGGGGUGCCUGGUGAGCUUUGCGGGGUGUGGGCAUCCAUGGCCAUGCUCCACUACAGAUGUUCCCACACCAAACCCUCUGGGCUCCCCACUGGCUUUAGUUCUGCCCCUACCACUCCUGUAUGCAGCUCUCCCUGCCAGUUCAAGUGUCUGUGGGGAUUAUGGGGCCUCCUGCUACCAGAAUUCCAGAGGUUCCUGGUGAAAGCAGAUGACCAUUUACCUGCUCAACUCACCCUGUCUCUAGGAGUCACUGGGGACCAGGAACAGGUCCUGGUGUUGGUAGCCAUGUGCUGUGUUCCCAGCUUCCUUCCCCUUCAGAUCAGGAUUUGUGUCUUCCCUCUGUCCACUCCCAGUGCCAUCCCUUCAUCCACCCAAUGCCUUCCCUCUGAAGAUCAGAAAGAGGUCUUUGAAAUUAAAAAUAUAAUUUUUUAAAAUAUGAAACUAGGCCAGGCGUGGUGGCUCAUACUCAUAAUCCCAGCACUUUGGGAGGCCGAGGCGGGUGGAUCACUUGAGGUCAGGGGUUCGAGACCAGCCUGGCCAACGUGGUGAAACCCCAUCUCUACUAAAAGUACAAAAUUAGCUGGGUGUGAUGGCACAUGCCUGUAGUCCCAGCUACUCGGGAGGCUGAGACAGGAGAAUCGCUUGAACUUGGGAGGCAGAGGUUGUAGCGAGCUGAGAUCACACCGCUGCACUCCAGUCUGGGCAAGACAGAGGGAGACUCAUCUCAAAAACAAACAAAC